rnacentral:rRNA from 1 species
UACAGAGGUCUCAAGCGUUGUUCGGAUUCAUUGGGCGUAAAGGGUGUGUAGGUGGCGCCGUUAGUCGGGUGUGAAAUUUCGGAGCUUAACUCCGAAACUGCAUUCGAUACUGCGGUGCUUGAGGACUGGAGAGGAGACUGGAAUUCAUGGUGUAGCAGUGAAAUGCGUAGAGAUCAUGAGGAAGACCAGUGGCGAAGGCGGGUCUCUGGACAGUUCCCGACACUGAGACACGAAGGCCAGGGGAGCAAACGGG